AAUUCAUGGCAACUAGUAUUCCCUCAAACUAUUUUUUCCCUUCUUAUUUUGCAGUCUUCCUGAGCUACUUACCUCUACCUUUGCUGAAUGUCAACAUUUACAGAUCCCAUUCUGAAGAAUGCAAUUCUUUCCAUACCCACUGCUUGGAACUCCAGCAUCUAAUGUACCACCAAACCAAGUGCUCAAAUCACUGUCAGACAAUAAACAUUAUGUUGCUUAAACUAUGG
rnacentral:lncRNA from 1 species